rnacentral:lncRNA from 13 species
AUGAAGACAGACUCCCUUUCUCCAAAGACACAGUGGACAUUCCCACCCUGUGGCUUUGCUCCGGUCAUUCCUUCUGUUUGGAAUAUCUCCCUCGCUUUUGCCCUAGCCAGCUCCCAGCUGUCAUGCAGUUCCAUUGCUGUUGAAGAUUUAGUUGGCAAGGACACUAUCAACUGUGAAUCCGUAAAGUCAAAUUCAACAGAAAAUCAAAAGAACAAACAUUGAGGCCACGAAUCUGCAUGUAUCAUUCUGGAGUGGACUUUGACUGGAGAACAAGACAGAGAAUGCCGUUGCUCUCAGAGGGAAGCUAAAGGAGGACCGUGGACGCUCACCAGUGAACUGAUGAUCUGCCUCUUCUCAGAUGCAUCACAGCACCCUCUAGACCAGAGCUCUGCACUCUGUCCCACGUGUCAACUACCUCUUUAACUCCUAAUCACAAUCCUUUACAGUUUCCUGUUAUGGUGAUGAGGCCAUCUGCCUAGGCCCUGGAAGACCCUGUCAUGGAAGCCCCUAGGAUUAUCCAAACCUUGAAAUAGCUUCUCUGAAGAGUAUUAGUAUUGGCAGCCAGGAUGCAGAGACAGAGACCCCCAAGGGUGGGGACAGGCUGAUCGAGAUGAACCUGGCUGUGCAGGCUCCAGCUACUCCUGCUUUACACGCAGUGAAAUUAUUUUCAGCCCCUCUCCUGGCUGUGGCUUCCCUGUACACCGUAAGUUUCAGCCUAAUGCUUCUUCCCCAGCCUCUGCCCUGCCUGGCUACCUCUCUGGGCAUUCUUUCAGAGCUUGGGACUUUAAUCCGCCUCCUCCCUGCAUCUUCUUAACUGUCUUCAGCAUGAUACACAGGCCCCAUCUGAUGUUACCAUCAUCUUGUUUGAGGGCCAGCCCAUAGCAGCCAAACACCCAGGAGCCAUUCACUGCCACCAGCUGGCAUUUAGACAGGGAAAGAAGCCCCAGAACAUUUGUGUGUGAGUGUCGAUGUGAGAAUGUGUGUGUGUGAGCAUGUGUCCACAUUUAUGAGCAUGUGAGUGUGCCUGUUGGUGUGUGUUGGGAGGCUGGAUGUACAAAUGGACAAUGGCCAAAUCAUAUGCAAAAACAGAACCCAGCAACCAACCCAGGAAACCAAUUUAUUAUUUUCAAGAGCAAGUCCAGGAAGCCAGC